CCGGCCAGCAGGUUGCGGUAGAAGACCAUGUGCAGGUUCUCGUCCUGCGCCACCCGGGCGAGCAUCUGCUCGCAGAUCGGGUCGCCGCUGAACCGGCCGGU
rnacentral:tRNA from 1 species